GGGCCCGCACAAGCAGUGGAGUAUGUGGUUUAAUUCGAAGCAACGCGAAGAACCUUACCAGGACUUGACAUCCCCUGAAUUACCAGUAAUGUGGGAAGCUCUUCGGAGCAGGGAGACAGGUGGUGCAUGGUUGUCGUCAGCUCGUGUCGUGAGAUGUUGGGUUAAGUCCCGCAACGAGCGCAACCCUUGUUGUUAGUUGCCAGCAGUUCGGCUGGGCACUCUAACGAGACUGCCGUUGAUAAAACGGAGGAAGGUGGGGAUGACGUCAAAUCAUCAUGCCCCUUAUGUUCUGGGCAACACACGUACUACAAUGGCCGUUAACAAUGGGUAGCGAAAGAGCAAUCUGGAGCCAAUCCCCAAAAACGGUCUCAGUUCGGAUUGUAGGCUGAAACUCGCCUAUAUGAAGAUGGAAUUGCUAGUAAUCGCGGAUCAGCAUGCCGCGGUGAAUACGUUCCCGGGCCUU
rnacentral:rRNA from 1 species